CUAUGACCAUUGACUAAGCUAGCACUCCACCAUUCUUGUGUGGAUGAAAUCCCAGGAGACUGAAAAUAAUGCAUCGCAAUACACCAGAAAUUUUUCAAUAUCGAGAAACGGUUUUGUACAUUAAGGGGACGUUUGUUUGCCCUCAUUAAAUAGGACUGGACUAGACUGAAUUAGGUGUUAGUGUAGUUUUAUGUUUGUUAGAGGAAAGGACUAGCUUUAGUGGGAUUAAACCUCGCUCACCUCUACUACAAGGCUCGCUAGGUAGUCUUAGCAAGACCUCCCAAAUACCACCAGAUUGCUAAGGCCAUUCUUUUCUCUCGCGUUGUUCCACUCUACUCCUCGCUUUGCUCGACUCCUCAUCUUGCUUGACAACCUCGCCGGACCAUCCCAGGACCGCCGCCGCGUCCUCAUAAAUCAUGGCUUCCUCUGCCACUUUCUCUUCUUAGUUUUUUUUCAAUUUUGUUUUGAAGAUUCAUGAAAUUAUUACUGGGUUUUAAUAGAUUUUUGUUUUUGAUCGAUUUGUGGGUUUGAUUGCUUUCUCAGAUUUGAUUGGUUUCUUUGUUUUUAUUUUUGGGUUUUGAUUGCUACCCAUUUGUUUUCAAUUUAUCUGCUAUUUUUCCUUUUAUGAAUUGAUUGAUAAGUUUUUGCAAGUUGAAGUGAUUUUUUUCUUCAUUCCCUGGUUUCGUUUUGCUAGAAAUUUGAUAUCAUAUUUUGGUUUAAUCUUUAUCCAAAACUCCCCGAUUUUCUUACAGUUCCACUACGAGAUCUUGAGAAAGCCAUGCCCAUUGCAGCAAGUGUGCAGGGUCUAGGUGUUCAUCUCAGAACUGCAAGAGCCACUAAAUUUGUAGGUCUCUCUCAACUGGCAAACAAGGAAACAAAUACGAGGACCACAAAAAGUCGCCAUAAGCUGGGAAGUUGAAUCGAGUACUGCUUUUCUGGUUCUCUGGCUAAGCAUUUUCUUGCCUAUCAAUUUGAGUCGUUGAAAGUUUGAUAAUUCUCCAAGUUGCAGAAGCACCUGCAAUUCGUGAAGAAGAAGAAGAGGGCUAUGCCCUUUAAUUUUUUCAUAUAUUCAUUUUGAAAUUUGAGCCCACAAUUGCUUUCAGCGGUGGGAAGGGAGACCCUCAGCCACUUAAUAAUUGGCCGAAAGAUACUACCACAAUACGUUAGUAACUUCAACAAGCUAGGCUAAAGCAUACUGCCUUAGAGGCAGAUUGUCUGCCUUCUCAUUACCAUGUCCUUCCUAUCUCUUCCUAUUUAUGCGGUUACGGUUAAACCACAUCAAUAUUUUAUAUUUCUAUUGCUUUUUGUCUUAUUAUCUUUAUAAAAAAAAUCAAUAUAAAAUAUUGGCGUGGCUUAACCGUGACCGCACAAUAUAGGAGGGGAUAGGAAGGGCAUGGUAAUGGAAGGGCAGACAAUCUACCUCAUACCGCCUUUGUACCCACUAACCCAA